rnacentral:rRNA from 3 species
AAAUUGAAGAGUUUGAUCAUGGCUCAGAUUGAACGCUGGCGGCAGGCCUAACACAUGCAAGUCGAGCGGCAGCGGGGAGUAGCUUGCUACUCUGCCGGCGAGCGGCGGACGGGUGAGUAAUGCUUGGGAACUUGCCUUUAGGAGGGGGAUAACCACGGGAAACUGUGGCUAAUACCGCAUAAUGUCUACGGACCAAAGCAGGGGAUCUUCGGACCUUGCACCUAGAGAUAGGCCCAAGUGAGAUUAGCUAGUUGGUGGGGUAAAGGCCCACCAAGGCGACGAUCUCUAGCUGUUCUGAGAGGAUGAUCAGCCACACUGGGACUGAGACACGGCCCAGACU